rnacentral:rRNA from 1 species
AUUGAACGCUGGCGGCAGGCCUAACACAUGCAAGUCGAACGAGUGGCGGACGGGUGAGUAAUGUCUGGGAAACUGCCCGAUGGAGGGGGAUAACUACUGGAAACGGUAGCUAAUACCGCAUACCAUCGGAUGUGCCCAGAUGGGAUUAGCUUGUAGGUGAGGUACCGGCUCACCUAGGCGACGAUCCCUAGCUGGUCGGAGAGGAUGACCAGCCACACGGGAACUGAGAAACGGUCCAGACUCCUACGGGAGGAAGCAGUGGGGAAUAUUGCAAAAUGGGCGCAAGUCUGAUGCAGCCAGGCCGGGUGUAUGAAGAAGGCCUUAGGGUUGUAAAGUACUUGCAGCGGGGAGGCGUUACCCGCAGAAGAAGCACCGGCUAACUCCGUGCCAGCAGCCGCGGUAAUUC